rnacentral:rRNA from 1 species
UACGUAGGGUCCAAGCGUUGUCCGGAUUUAUUGGGCGUAAAGAGCUCGUAGGCGGUUCGGUAAGUCGGAUGUGAAAACUCGGGGCUCAACCCCGAGACGCCAUCCGAUACUGCUGUGACUUGAGUCUGGUAGGGGGAACACGGAAUUCCUGGUGUAGCGGUGAAAAUGCGCAGAUAUCAGGAGGAACACCGAUGGCGAAGGCAGUGUUCUGGGCCAGUACUGACGCUGAGGAGCGAAAAGCGUGGGGUAGCGAAACAGG